CAGCUUGUAAGUUUUAUUUCUACGAAACAUAUAAAUAGUUGAAUACAGCUUAUCAACUCUUGUUAUCCAAACAAUGUAACAGCUUUUUCUUUUUAAUAGAAACUUCAACAGCUUUCAUGUUAACAACUUCUAAGCUUCUAUACCUUCACUUGAACCAAGCACUCUUAAGGAUUUGAGCUCCUGUAUUGACUUGGCAAUAUAGCAACAUAAAUUCAUCAUACAAUUUAACUAGAGUAACAGGUUAGGAAAUAGAAAAAAAGAAAUUAUAAUAUUAAAUACAAUCCAUUAUAGUUUUGUUUUUCCAACACAUGCAACUUGGAGUUUAAAUUUGAGUUCCUAAAAAGAAAGGAGUUUAAGCUUGAGUUUCCAUCUUGCACUUAUUAUGAAGGUAAUUAUUGUCAUUUUCAAAAUCUUUGUUUGACUUUUGGGGUGUGCUUUUUCUUUUUUUUUAAAAAAAAAUUCUUUCUUUACUCUUACUCCAGUUGGGGCAUGGAAUGAUAAAAUGCAUGGUUUGUGAUAAAACAAGAUCAGAUAUAGAAGUUUGCUUCUUUUAAUUUCUUUCUUGAUUCUUUGCUUUGUUCAUCCAUUGCUACUCUAAGAGUAAUUUAUUUACCUUAUGAUUUCAGCAACGCAGUUUCAAUCUUUGGAGCCAAGUGGAAUUGACCUUAAAGCAGAUUGACACUGCUGGAACAGAACUUGAGUGCUUCCAAGCUUUGCAAAAGCAAGAACAGAUAGCAGCAUCACACAGAGUAAAUAAUAUUUGGGAGGAAGUGCAGAAGCAAAAGGAGCUUGAGCAAACUUUACAACGGCGCUACGGAAAUCUAUUAGCUGAGCUGGAGAGGAUACAAAAGCUUGUGGUCGAGUAUAGAGCUGAAGCAAAAAAACAAGAAGAAAUUGCUGAGAAGAAUCAUGCUCUUCAGUUGUCUGAGGUGGCAACCGAGGAAUCCACUGAGAUCUCAGAGCCCUUACCAUCCUUGGAUACAUCUGCAAGCUCUGUGCCAGGUGACCCAUCUCACGAUGGCACUCCAGGUCAGAAAAUGGAUGUUGAUCAAGAGGAAGCGCACGCAGGAACAGCUGUAGAUGUAAGCAUAUCUACUGAUAUGCCU
rnacentral:lncRNA from 1 species